GCAGGGCGUGCGCGGGCAGGAGAUGCGCGGGCUGCGCGAGCUGGCCACGCGGCUGGCCGGCAGCGCCGACCUGUUCGGCCCGGGCGACCCGCC
rnacentral:tRNA from 1 species